GCCCAGGUGGCGGAAUUGGUAGACUCAUUAGAUUUAGGUCUUAGCGGUGGCAACACCGUGCAGAUUCGAGUCCUCUUUUGGGCACCA
rnacentral:tRNA from 1 species